AGAGGAGGGAUUUGACAGGUACAAAAUGGUGGUGCAGGUUGUGAUUGGAGAGCAGAGAGGAGAAGGAGUAAAUAUGGCUGCGCGCUGUUUCUGGGACGCUGACACUGACAGCUACGCCCACGACGUGUUCAUGAACGACAGCCUGUUCUGUGUGGUAGCUGCAUUUGGGUGCUUCUACUAUUGAAGACGGUGAAGAUUGCCCAG